GACGAACGCUGGCGGCGUGCCUAACACAUGCAAGUCGAGGGGCAACACGGGUAGCAAUACCUGGUGGCGACCGGCGCAAGGGUGCGUAACGCGUGAGCAACAUGCCCUAUACAGGGGGAUAAUCCAGGGAAACUUGGUCUAAUAUCCCAUAGUAUUUAGAGGUGGCAUCACCACUAAAUUAAAGCUUCGGUGGUAUAGGAUUGGCUCGCGUGACAUUAGCUGGAUGGUGGGGUAACGGCCUACCAAGGCGAAGACGGGUAGCCGGUCUGAGAGGAUGGCCGGCCACACUGGAACUGAGACACGGUCCAGACUCCUACGGGAGGCAGCAGUGGGGAAUAUUGGGCAAUGGGGGAGACCCUGACCCAGCGACGCCGCGUGAGGGACGAAGGUUUCGGAUCGUAAAGCACUUUUUGGAGGGAAUAGGAAGGAAGGUACCUCCAGAAUAAGUCUCGGCUAACUACGUG
rnacentral:rRNA from 1 species